GUCCCCAUCGUCUAGCCCGGUCUAGGACACCAGACUUUCGAUCUGAUAACACCGGUUCAAAUCCGGUUGGGGACGCCA
rnacentral:tRNA from 2 species